GACGAACGCUGGCGGCGUGCCUAAUACAUGCAAGUAGAACGCACAGUUUAUACCGUAGCUUGCUACACCAUAGACUGUGAGUUGCGAACGGGUGAGUAACGCGUAGGUAACCUGCCUGGUAGCGGGGGAUAACUAUUGGAAACGAUAGCUAAUACCGCAUAAUAUUGAUUAUUGCAUGAUAAUUGAUUGAAAGAUGCUAUUGCAUCACUACCAGAUGGACCUGCGUUGUAUUAGCUAGUAGGUGAGGUAACGGCUCACCUAGGCGACGAUACAUAGCCGACCUGAGAGGGUGAUCGGCCACACUGGGACUGAGACACGGCCCAGACGCCUACGGGAGGCAGCAGUAGGGAAUCUUCGGCAAUGGACGAAAGUCUGACCGAGCAACGCCGCGUGAGUGAAGAAGGUUUUCGGAUCGUAAAGCUCGGUUGUAAGAGAAGAACGGGUGUGAGAGUGGAAAGUUCACACUGUGACGGUAUCUGACCAGAAAGGGACGGCUAACUACGUG
rnacentral:rRNA from 1 species